rnacentral:rRNA from 1 species
GAGUUUGAUCCUGGCUCAGGACGAACGCUGGCGGCGUGCUUAACACAUGCAAGUCGAGCGAUGAAGCUUCCUUCGGGAAGUGGAUUAGCGGCGGACGGGUGAGUAACACGUGGGCAACCUGCCUCAAAGAGAGGAAUAGCCCUCCGAAAGGAGGAUUAAUACCGCAUAAAGUUAGAGUUUCGCAUGAAACUUUAACCAAAGGAGUAAUCCGCUUUGAGAUGGGCCCGCGUCCCAUUAGCUAGUUGGUAGGGUAAUGGCUUACCAAGGCAACGAUGGGUAGCCGACCUGAGAGGGUGAUCGGCCACAUUGGAACUGAGACACGGUCCAGACUCCUACGGGAGGCAGCAGUGGGGAAUAUUGCGCAAUGGGGGAAACCCUGACGCAGCAACGCCGCGUGGGUGAUGAAGGUUUUCGGAUCGUAAAACCCUGUUUUCUGGGACGAUAAUGACGGUACCAGAUGAGGAAGCCACGGCUAACUACGUGCCAGCAGCCGCGGUAAUAC